rnacentral:rRNA from 2 species
GCGACCCCAGGACGGG